UCGGGUUGUAAAGCACUUUUGUCCGGAAAGAAAACUUCCGCCCUAAUACGGUGGGAGGCUGACGGUACCGGAAGAAUAAGCACCGGCUAACUACGUGCCAGCAGCGCGGUAAUCGUAGGGUGCGAGCGUUAAUCGGAAUUACUGGGCGUAAAGCGUGCGCAGGCGGUUUGUUAAGACAGAUGUGAAAUCCCCGGGCUUAACCUGGGAACUGCAUUUGUGACUGGCAAGCUAGAGUAUGGCAGAGGGGGGUAGAAUUCCACGUGUAGCAGUGAAAUGCGUAGAGAUGUGGAGGAAUACCGAUGGCGAAGGCAGCCCCCUGGGCCAAUACUGACGCUCAUGCACGAAAGCGUGGGGAGCAAACAGGAUUAGAUACCCUGGUAGUCCACGCCCUAAACGAUGUCAACUAGUUGUUGGGGAUUCAUUUCCUUAGUAACGUAGCUAACGCGUGAAGUUGACCGCCUGGGGAGUACGGUCGCAAGAUUAAAACUCAAAGGAAUUGACGGGGACCCGCACAAGCGGUGGAUGAAGGUGGAUUAAUUCGAUGCAACGCGAAAAACCUUACCUACCCUUGACAUGUAUGGAACCCUGCUG
rnacentral:rRNA from 1 species